CAUGCACGUGUAGCCCCUCUUUGGUGCCACAUAAGUAAAAAGGGAUUAACCCCUUUAAAGUAUGGCAUUAAUAGCUAUACCUACAGUAGUGAUCGAUAGGAGAGAUUUUGUUGUAACUUUGUGGCGAAAGCAAAUUGUUUAUAUUAGCCAAUAGUUCUUGUGAGUGAGUCUUGCCAGAGGUUCCACCUUUUAACCUAUAGGGCCUAUAGGGUGAAACUUCUCGGAACUUCUUGGACUGCUCCAUAUUAAUUGCUAUAGGGGUAGAAAGCUUUUGAGAUAAAAGUAUAUUUCAUAUUUGUAUGUUAUCUGUUAAUUCUAGUUGUUAUCACUUUGCAUGACUUUGCUUAGGAUAUAUAUUCAAUGUCUUAUAUUGCUGUAUAAAUGACUCACGGAUCAACAGCCACAACCAACUAUUACUAUUCAGACCCCUUUCCUAUAAUAAUGGUAUAUUCGAUAUACCAACAUCCAAGAUUUUCUUGAGGCAUCUUCCUUCUUUCACUAUUACGAAGAUGGAGAGGAAGCACCCUCGAAACAUCAGUCUUCAAUAACUUCUGUUUUUCCCUGCCCUUUCAGAUCAGGCUAAAGGUCGUCACCUCAUGACACCCCUGUCAACCUGAGACCCUCUGUAAUUUGUCAAACUUAGUUUUGUUUUAAGCCAUAGAGAUAAUAUCUCAACUUAUUGCCAUGAAGUUAAUGUAAUGUAACCAGGAGUUACAGAUUCUUGUAAAUAUAUUGUAAAUAUGCUUUGUAUUACUCAAUAAUAAAGGAACUUAUACAUUUCCUUUA